rnacentral:tRNA from 1 species
GGCGCUAUAGCCAAGUGGUUACGGCGACAGAUUCGAAUAACGCGGUAUCUGUUCCUCUUUGAGGGCGCAGGUUCAAAUCCUGCUGGCGUCG